rnacentral:rRNA from 1 species
AUAAGAGGUCCCGCCUGCCCUGUGACUUAUUAAGUUUAACGGCCGCGGUAUUUUGACCGUGCAAAGGUAGCGCAAUCACUUGUCUUUUAAAUGAAGACCUGUAUGAAUGGCAUAACGAGGGUUGAGCUGUCUCCUUUUUCUAGUCAAUGAAAUUAAUCUCCCCGUGCAGAAGCGGGGAUAAGAACAUAAGACGAGAAGACCCUAUGGAGCUUCAGACAAAAAGCAGACCAGAGAGAGCCAAAUGGAUAAACAAAUCAACUCAGCUGAUUUCUGCCCUUAUGUCUUUGGUUGGGGCGACCACGGAGGAACAAAAAUCCUCCGCGAGGAACAGGGCUUUUGCCCUCAAAGCCAGAGCGACAGCUCCAGCUAACAGAAUUUCUGACCUACAAGAUCCGGCAUGACCGAUCAACGGACCGAGUUACCCUAGGGAUAACAGCGCAAUCCUCUUCUAGAGUUCAUAUCGACAAGGGGGUUUACGACCUCGAUGUUGGAUCAGGACAUCCUAAUGGUGCAGCCGCUAUUAAGGGUUCGUUUGUUCAA